UAGCGUAGGGGGCAAGCGUUUGUCCGGAAUCAUUGGCGUAAAGAGCGUGUAGGCGGUCCGGUAAGUCCGCUGUGAAAGUCCAGGGCUCAACCCUGGAAUGCCGGUGGAUACUGUCGGGCUCGAGUCCGGAAGAGGCGAGUGGAAUUCCUGGUGUAGCGGUGAAAUGCGUAGAUAUCGGAAGGAACACCGGUGGCGAAAGCGGCGCGCUGGACCUCUUCUGACGCUGAGGCGCGAAAGCCAGGGGAGCAAACGGG
rnacentral:rRNA from 1 species